GAGGUGGUGGCCGAGGGGCAGGGCGAGGUCCGGAUCCUCGGGCGAGAGGGCGUGUUCGUUCUGCGGAACGUAGCCGCUCGACAUCA
rnacentral:tRNA from 1 species